GCGUUCGUAGCUCAGCUGGAUAGAGCACCGGUUUGCGGUACCGGCGGUCACAGGUUCGAAUCCUGUCGAGCGCACCA
rnacentral:tRNA from 1 species